rnacentral:rRNA from 1 species
UCGUAACAAGGUUUCCGUAGGUGAACCUGCGGAAGGAUCAUUACUGAAAUGUAAUAACUUCUAUUGAAAGGUUCCAGAGUAGGCGCUACAACGCCGAAAUGACCUUCUCACCCUUGUGUACUCACUAUGUUGCUUUGGCGGGUCGACCUGGUUCCGACCCAGGCGGCCGGCGCCCCCAGCCUUAACUGGCCAGGACGCCCGGCUAAGUGCCCGCCAGUAUACAAAACUCAAGAAUUCAUUUUGUGAAGUCCUGAUAUAUCAUUUAAUUGAUUAAAACUUUCAACAACGGAUCUCUUGGUUCUGGCAUCGAUGAAGAACGCAGCGAAAUGCGAUAAGUAAUGUGAAUUGCAGAAUUCAGUGAAUCAUCGAAUCUUUGAACGCACAUUGCGCCCUCUGGUAUUCCGGAGGGCAUGCCUGUUCGAGCGUCAUUUCAACCCUCAAGCUCUGCUUGGUAUUGGGCAACGUCCGCUGCCGGACGUGCCUUGAAGACCUCGGCGACGGCGUCCUAGCCUCGAGCGUAGUAGUAAAAUAUCUCGCUUUGGAGUGCUGGGCGACGGCCGCCGGACAAUCGACCUUCGGUCUAUUUUUCCAAGGUUGACCUCGGAUCAGGUAGGGAUACCCGCUGAACUUAAGCAUAUC